ensembl:lncRNA
UGACAGGAGUUCCUGUCAUGGCGCAGUGGUUAACAACUCCGACUAGGAACCGCGAGGUUGCAGGUUCGAUCCCUGGCCUUGCUCAGUGGGUUAAGGAUCCGGCAUUGCUAUGAGCUGUGGUGUAGGUUGCAGAGGCGGCUCAUCCUGCGUUGCUGUGGCUCUGGCGUAGGCCAGUGACUCCAGCUCCAAUUAGACCCCUAGCCUGGGAACCUCCAUAUGCCACGGGAAGCGGCCCUAGAAAAGACAAAAAAAUAAAAAUAAGAAAAAUAAAGAGAGUGACAGACACAUAGCAGGCCAUUAUAUGACACUGCGUGACCAGAGGUAGUACAAGAGGCUGUAGGAACCCAGAGGAAGCACCUAGUGGGAGGAGUCAGGAAAGGCUCCCUGGAAGAAGGAAUCUGGAGCCCUAAAGGAGGAGUAAGAGUUAGCCGGUCCAUGCCAAUAGCCUCUACCAUAUCCUUCUUGCUUGGCAAGCCCAAAGCAGAGACAAAGAGGCUUCUUUGGUUCUAAGUGACUCUGAACUGCUAAAAAUGUCACCUCUGCCCCUCGACCACCAGCCACUGCCCUGGGGUCUGGGCAGGAGGGUGCACAGCUGUUCUCAGGGCAUCCCUGGGUACCGGCAGCCAAGUAUGGGCCACAGCUAAAUACAUGUCUCUCCUCUGCUCGCCCCGCCCCCACCUCCUCGACCAGGGAUGCCUAUUAAUCCUGACAAAUGAUGACUUACGAACAUGUAAUGCAAACUGAUUCAUCAUACAUUCAAAUCCGCCGCCCCGCCCCAGCGGGAGGCCCCAGCCAGACAAGUGUAUUACACGGAUAAUGUAUUUGACGUAUUAAUAAAACCAGCCGCAUUGCUCCGGCGCGGGGACUGGGGAAUGCCAAUAUACGAUGACAGAUCACAUAUUGAUGAAAUCCAGAUGUUUGGAAUCAUAGUCUGGGGGCCUUGUUCAUAUUGACUGAAGGUAAAAAUGCCGUCUGUCAGUAUGUUAACUCUUCCCGUCCCACACGCAGCCCAGACGCCAGUCAUGGCUUUCUGGAGCGAGGAGGAGAAGGGAGGGGAUGAGUGAGAGGGGAGAGUGGCGACUGGGAUGGAUGGGGUGGGGCAGAUGGCUGUCCUGUGGACACGGCAGGGGGAAGGGACACUUUUCCUGCCUGGCGCUCUUGACCUCUCAGCAGCAUGUGACGCUGUCGAUGGCACAGCCCCCUCCUUGAAAUUCUUCCCUCUUGGCUUUGAUGACAUCACCGUAUCUGCAUCCUCCUCGUGGCUGGUCCUUCUGAGUCUUCGACGACUUAAACCACCUCCGUGUUGGAGUUUCUUGGGUACUGUUCCAGCCCCUGCUUGCUGGAUACUCUCACCCCGGGUGAGCUCCCCGGCUCUUAUUUAUUCCUGGUAGAUAGUUGUUGAGUACUUAGCACACCCCAGACGUCGUGCUAGGCGCACAGGAUGCGGCGGUGAGUUUCAGUCCUUGUCUGUAGGCCAGCGUCUCCAGUUCCACAGUUCAAGCUCUGGCUCCCACAAAAGGCCUACUCAGUUUUUUCACAUGGUAGGUCUAACAACAGGUCCUCAAACCAAGUUCAUCCGAAACUGGACUCAUUUUCUGCCUCACCAAGCCCGCUGCACCUCCUCCUGUUCCGCAGGCCAGGAAUGGUCGACCACCUCGCAGUCGCUCAAGCCAGACAGCUUGGAGUGGCCCUUGGUCCCCACGUCCAAUCCCCACUCCUGUCCAUCUCCAUCAUCGUCGUCGUUGUUGUCAUCACGUCACGAGCUAGUGAGAUAAGCCUAGACGGCUUUCCCGCAUUGGCUCUUGUUCUCAUGGACCAUUCGCUGCUUCUCACUCUUCUGCUUAACACUCUUCGAUGGCUUCUCAUUGUAUGAUAAAAUGUAAUAAUAACAGGCAAAAUCAUUCAUGUAGUUGCAAAGCCGUUCCUCAGGACCUGGCCUCUUUCUGGUCAGCUCUCCAUCCUCUGCCCUUCACGCUCCCUGUUCCAGCCACGCCGGACUCAUCUCAGUUCUUCACUGGGGCUUCUGCCCUGCCCGCCUUCAAACGCGCCGUCCUCCAUCCGGGACACGACCUGUCCGCCACCCUUGCUUGACGGGUCCCUGUUCGUGCUUCAAGGUGCCUCAAAUGUCACUUCUUCCACCUCCCAGACCAGAUGAUACACUCCUGCAGGUCCACGUCCUUCCCUUGUUCUAAGACCACACUGGGAUGUUUGUUGCGUGUCUUUCCUCAGUCAGUUCCUAAGCUCCCUGCGGGCAGAGGCUGUGUCUGUCUGCUCAUGAUUGCAGGGCAUCCAUACUGUGGCAGAUCCACCGUUGGUAUCCAGCUGCCAUUUGUCAAUGAUUAUUGAAUCAUUUCUCAGGUGGGCGGGUAGGGGUGGAUAGCUGGGUGUUGUGCUGUGGGUAAGAGCACUGACUCUGGAAUCAGACAGAUCUCUGCUCUGAACCUUCUAGCUCUGUCACUUCAUUGUUCUGAGCUCCGUUUUCCCCAGCAGUGUGGUACAGUAGAUAAGGGUUCCCGUUGUGGUGCAGCAGAGAUGAAUCCGACUAGGAUCCAUGAGGAUGUGGGUUCGAUCCCUGGCUUCGCACAGUGGGUGGGGGAUCUGGUGUUGCCCUGAGCUGUGGUGCAGGUCGCAGACAUGGCUCGGAUCCCGUGUUGCUGUGGCUGUGGCGUAGGCCAGCAGCUGUAUCUCCGAUUCCACCCCUAGCCUGUGGGAACUUCCAUAUGCCAUGGGUGUGGCCCUAAAAAG